rnacentral:lncRNA from 1 species
CACGAAGACAGUUUUAGGUGUCCCUGUGAUUUCAUCUCCAGCCAAUCGUUUCAGUUCUCCAGCCCCCUUCCUGCCAAAGUACCUAGGCUACUGAAAUAAAACUGGCGUCUGGGAAACCCGGAGGCCAGAGCAACUGGUCAGGCCCAGGCACUGGGGAAGGGCCACAUGACCACACAGUGAAAAGGUGGCUGCCUACAAGCUGAGAGAUGAGGCCUCGGAAUGAAACCUGCCUGGCUAGUGUUUUGAUCUUGGAUUUUCCUGCCUCCAGAACAGAAAAUAAAUUUCUGUUGUUUAAGUCCUGGUCUACGGAAUUUUGCUAUGUCCACUAAGGUCCUGCUAGUGCUGACCCUGAAAUGGGACCAGACUUGAGAAUCACCUGGGAGGAGGGCCAGGAUGCGGAUGGAAAUGGAAGUCCUGGAAAG